GAGUCGGACUCGGCGCGCUGCCUGGCGCGGCUCGCUCUUCAGGUGCGCCGCCCCGAGUUGUCGCUGCUGGAGAGCGCGAGCGGGCUCCUGGGUCACCCAGACUGUGUGUCAUCCCGAAGCCAGCAGAGCUGGGGCCAUAGUGCUUGACUGAUAGGGGCUGAGGAUGAAUACGGCGGCCAGAAAGCCCAGCUCUGCCUCCUGUUGUUAAUGAAGAUUUUCUCUGGAAUACAGGCAGAAUGCCUAUACCAUUCCGACGGAUAACGCGAAAGCCUACCUAGCACUGGGAUUAAAGAUAUGCAGAACUCUCAGCUACCUUUCUAGCACCGUGUUUCCUACCAGGACAAUAAAGGACUAAACCUCUGAACUGUAAGCCAGCCCCAAAUUAAAUGCUUUCCUUUAUGAGAGUGGUGGUUGCUAGGCAGUGAUGGUUUAAUUCCAGCACUUGGGAGGCAGAGGCAGGAGGAUCUAGAGGCUGAGAUCCAGGGCAGCCAGGGCGAACAGAGAGACCCUGUCUCGGAAAGACAAGACAAGAAAAGAAAAACGGAGAAAGAGAGAAAAAAAAAUGUUCACAAUGUGAUCUUGCUUGGAAUUUGUCUUUGUUUUUAGUGUUAAGUAGAGAGCUAGCUUAUUUUUCCUAAAUAGGCGUUUACCUAACUCAUUUACACACGCAUGCACGCACACCCACACAUACAUUGUUGAACAGAAAACCAAACAAGUUCACCCAUCAUGGAUGGCAGGGGUGUUAAAUAACCCACUUUAUAGUUCCCUCAUAACUUGCUUCUAAUACUGCAUAAGCUAUCAGGUCUCCAAGUGCCUCAGGGACUUAUAUACUGAGCUUCACAAAUUCUUCUCCUUCCCCAUACUUGAUUUAAACUGUGUGGCUUAUUAAUAACUUUUACCUGAAAUAGGCCUGUAUAAUUCAUUGAUCAAAAAUAAAGGGUGAAUGAAAAAGAGAAAAAGUUACUUGAGAUAUGAAAAUUAACCCAGCAGGAACUAGUCCGCUUCAGAGCAUUGUGCAGACAGGCUCCCCCAUCCUCUGCUCAUGCACAUGAAUGUGCAAGGGUGCCCCUUCUUCAUGGUGAUGGUGGAUGCAGGCCAGUGAAGAGAAAUGGUUACCAUGCUACUCCUGCUGCUCUAAUACAACGAGUGAAUCUCCUUAUCCUACCUCAAACUUUGGUAGGACAUGAUAACCUUUUAAAAUAGUGCGAAACAACAUGAGCUAUAAAAGCUAUUCCUAAAUAUGACAAAACGCUAGCACUAAACAGGAAGCCCUCCCCAAUGAAUUAUGAAAAACUUUACCAAAAAUAGUUUAUUGCAUAAAAUGUAAGGAGUUCCCAAGCACACUUAUAUUAAAAAAAAAAAAAAGGCAAAA